rnacentral:misc_RNA from 1 species
UUAAGUUCAGCGGGUCUUCCUACCUGAUCCGAGGUCAACCUUGGGUAAAUAAGGCUUUUAACGGCCGGAACCCGCAGCACGCCCUGAGCGAGAUGUAUUACUACGCUCGGUGUGACAGCGAGCCCGCCACUGUUUAAGGGCCUGCAGCAGCCGCAGGGCCCCAACACAAGCCGGGGGCUUGAGUGGUUGAAAUGACGCUC